rfam:Pseudonocardia sp. EC080619-01, complete genome.
GCCGGUCCUCGGUAGUGGCUCCCGGGAGCACGAGUUGCCGGGGGCUUCGAUCGAAGACCGGC